rnacentral:rRNA from 1 species
AGCGAACGCUGGCGGCGUGCCUAACACAUGCAAGUCGAACGUGAACGGGGGCAACCCUUAGUAAAGUGGCGUACGGGUGAGUAACACGUAGGUAAUCUACCCUAGAGUCUGGAAUAACCGGCCGAAAGGCUGGCUAAUACUGGAUAGAGCGACGGAACUCGUAAAGAGUUUUUCGGGAAAGGGAGCUCGCAAGAGCCCUCGCUUUAGGAUGAGCCUGCGUCCAAUCAGGUAGUUGGUAGGGUAAUGGCCUACCAAGCCUUUGACGGGUAGCUGGUCUGAGAGGAUGAUCAGCCACACUGGAACUGAAACACGGUCCAGACUCCUACGGGAGGCAGCAGUGGGGAAUCUUGCGCAAUGGGCGAAAGCCUGACGCAGCCACGCCGCGUGAGUGAAGAAGACCUUCGGGUUGUAAAGCUCUGUCGGGAGGGACGAACAUCAUUGGUGUUAACAGCGCCAGUGACUGACGGUACCUCCAAAGGAAGCACCGGCUAACUUCGUGCCAGCCGCCGCGGUAA